rnacentral:rRNA from 1 species
CCUACGGGUGGCAGCAGUGAGGAAUAUUGGUCAAUGGGCGCGAGCCUGAACCAGCCAAGUCGCGUGAGGGAGGACGGCCCUACGGGUUGUAAACCUCUUUUGCCGGGGAGCAACGGGCGGCACGUGUGGCGCCACGGAGAGUACCCGGAGAAAAAGCAGCGGCCAACUCAGGGCCAGCAGCCGCGGUAAGACGGAGGAUGCGAGAGUUAUCCGGAUUUAUUUGGUUGACGGGGUGCGUAGGCGGAUCGUUAAGUCAGUGGUCAAAUUGAGGGGCUCAACCCCUUCCCGCCAUUGAAACUGGCGCUCUUGAGUGGAAGAGCAGUAUGCGGCAUGCGUGUUGUAGCGG